rfam:Pteropus alecto contig93749, whole genome shotgun sequence.
GUCAAUGGCCAUGCCACCCUGAACAAGACCAAUGUCUGAUCUUGGAAGCUAAGUAGGGUUGGGCCUGUUUAGUACUUGGAUGAGAGACCACCUAGAAAGACCAGGUGCUGUAAGCA